GUCCCGUGCCGCCGUCGCUGCCGCCGCGCUCGCUGGCUGGCCCGGUGCGGGCGCCGGGCUCCUGCCACAGGCGAGAACCACCGGCGCCACCACCACCACUUCGGCCCGGGCCCGGGCACCGGCCCCGCCCCGGGCCCCGGCCUGAGCCCCCCGCCCGGCCGGGCGAUGAAGUGUCACUACGAGGCGCUGGGGGUGCGGCGCGACGCCAGCGAGGAGGAGCUCAAGAAGGCCUAUCGGAAGCUGGCCCUGAAAUGGCACCCGGAUAAAAAUCUGGAUAAUGCCGCAGAAGCAGCUGAGCAAUUUAAACUAAUCCAAGCAGCGUAUGACGUGUUGAGCGACCCUCAGGAAAGAGCAUGGUAUGAUAAUCAUAGAGAGGCUCUGCUUAAAGGUGGGCUUGAUGGAGAGUAUCAAGAUGACAGCUUAGAUUUGCUUCACUAUUUCACUGUGACCUGUUACUCUGGUUAUGGAGAUGAUGAAAAGGGCUUUUAUACAGUGUAUCGUAGUGUCUUUGAAAUGAUUGCCAAGGAAGAACUAGAAUCUUCUUUAGAAGAGGAUGUUGAGGAUUUCCCAACUUUUGGAGACUCCCAGAGUGACUAUGAUACGGUAGUCCAUCCUUUCUACGCUUAUUGGCAGAGCUUCUGCACUCAGAAGAACUUUGCUUGGAAAGAGGAAUAUGAUACACGACAGGCUUCAAACCGCUGGGAGAAACGAGCCAUGGAAAAAGAGAACAAAAAGAUUCGAGACAAAGCACGGAAAGAGAAGAAUGAGCUUGUCCGUCAGCUGGUAGCUUUCAUCCGUAAAAGAGAUAGAAGAGUGCAGGCUCAUCGAAAACUUGUGGAAGAACAGAACGCAGAGAAGGCGAGGAAAGCCGAAGCAAUGAGGCGGCAGCAGAAGCUAAAGCAGGCCAAACUGGCAGAGCAGUACCAAGAGCAGAGCUGGAUGACGGUGGCCGAUUUGGAGAAGGAGCUCAGGGAGAUGGAGGCGCAGUAUGAAAAGGAGUUUGGAGACGGAUCAGGUGAAGAUGAAGCGGAAGAGCAGGAACUCCAAGACGGACAGGAUGGUAAAGAUAGUGAUGAGGCUGAGGAUGCAGAACUUUAUGAUGGCCUUUACUGCCCAGCAUGUGACAAAUCUUUCAAGACGGAAAAGGCCAUGAGGAAUCAUGAAAAAUCAAAGAAGCAUCGGGAAAUGGUUGCCUUGUUAAAACAACAGUUGGAGGAGGAGGAAGCAAAUUUUUCAGGACCUCAAACUGAUGAAAACAGUCUGAAUGCCAAUUCUGAGGAAGAAAUGGAGGAUGCACCAAAACAAAAGCUUUCUAAAAAACAGAAGAAAAGGAAACAGAAACCAGCACAGAAUUAUGAUGAUAAUUUCAAUGAAAAUGGAACUGGAGAAGGAGUAAAGGUUGAUCCAGAAGAUAACAGCCUAAAUCAAGACAGUGCCAAAGAAUUGGAAGAUAGUCCCCAAGAAAAUGUCGGUGUUACAGAGACUGUGGAACUGUGUGAUGACCCCAAAAGUGAAGCUAAAAGCGUUUCUAAACCCAAAGGAAAGAAAACCAAAGAUACUAAAAAAUCUGUCAGAGUACCUGCUGAACCACAGACAGUGAGUGAUGUUCUUAUCAGCUGUACAACCUGCCAUAGUGAAUUUCCAUCCCGGAAUAAACUUUUUGACCAUCUAAAGGCCACAGGUCAUGCAAGAGCACCUUCAUCAUCAUCUUUAAACAGUGUAACAAAUAGUCGAAGCAAAAAAGAGAAACGUAAAAACAGAUAGAAAUCCUGCCAAUGCUUUUUCUUUUUGAUUGUCUCUAGAUUUUGACACCAAAAACUGAACUGAAAUCAUCUAAAGAGUUAAAAUUUCAGUCAUCUGCAAUUUAUUGCAUUGUGGAAGAUUAUUUUUAUCUUGUAAAAACAUUUUUUUGUUUAAUAUAUAUUUUUUAAACAUUUCAUUAGUGAUUGAAUUCUACUUUUGCCAUCUGAAUUGACUUGAAUGUCUCAAAACAGGUGAAAUGCCAGCCAGUUUUCUGCCUUUGGUCUUUUCCUCCCAGGCUUCAUCUGAACACUCACCACCUUCCUCUAAUUUGAACUAGAUUGGCAAAAGGCAAAAAGUCUCACAAGAUCAAGUGUUGGUGAGAAUGGAGAAAUGGGAACAAUUGCUUCAAUUUGAUGGUGGCUAUGAAAGUUGAAGACGUACCCCCUGACCUGACAACUCCAGGGGUAUACCUAGAGUCUCACAGUGUCUGCAGAGGCACAGCAUGGGCUCUACCUGAGGACUGUCACCCAGGUCCCACUCCGGACCUGCUGAAUGAGAAUUUGCAAUUAACAAGACUUCUCAGGUGACUCACAUGCUUCUUGCAUCUUGAGAAGCGGUACUCUCAGGAACCCACGCGCGUGUGCACAAGGAGACGUAGUGGCUGAUCACAGCUGAAUUGCUUGUAUCUGGGAAAAGUUGGCGAUGGACCCUAAAUCUCCGUGAACAAGAAAGUGGAUAAAUUGUAUAACGGACAAUAAGAUGGCAAACAGGCAGUUCAAAUGAGUGAACUGGAUAUGUAAUACCAGUGGCUAGCCUUAAAAAAAUAUUGAAUGAAAACAAGCUGUCAGAAGGUGACAUGUAUGCCACAUAUAUAGUUUUUUAAAGUACUGUUGUUAUUUAUAGAGAGAAAAUAUAGAACCAUCAAUGGGAAACACAUCAUUCAGAAAAGUAGUUGCCUCUGUAAAGGGAGGGAGAGGGGUGGAAUGGGGGCGUGGCAGCAAAGGGGCCUUAUCUGAGCCAAGACUUCUAUUUAAGAUCUGAAGGAAGAUGUUAGCAUUGAUUAAUUCUGGGUGGUGGGUAAUGAGGGUUUAUUACUCUACUAACAUGUUUUCAUGAAAUACUUCAAAUAUCCAGAGAAAUACAAAUUAAUGUUCCAUUUUUUGUUAAUAGAAAAUACACUUGCACGAAAGGGGAGAUAAAGGCUUUCAGGUCUACAUUUUAUUCCUAGCAUAUUCCAUAAGCUCACUGUGGCAGAGGCUAUUACUUGUCUCUCUCAAUAUUCAUUCUCUCCUUCUUCCUUAUAAUUCUGAUUUUUAAUUGGGCACAAAGCCACCUAAAAUAUUACCUUCCUAGCCUCCCUUGCAGCUAGGAGUCUGUAAGUUCUGGCCAGUGAUCUGAGCAACUCUGGGGACAUGUCCUUAAAGAUGUGGGAUGUCCUUAUUCCUUCCUCCGCCAGCUUCAAUGAACAGGUAAUGGUUGGCGCUCUACCCCUGUCUGGGAUCAUGAUUCCUCACAGGGCAGAGAAACUGAAGCCCAGGAGCUUCCAUCCUUGACACUCAGAGGGACCCUAUAAGCCCCAGACAACCUUCUGCAUUCGAGAGAAAUAAAACUCCUGCAUUACUGAA